CUUUAACUUGGACCAUUUCUGAUACUUGCCUUUUCUGGGCAGCAUGCCAGUUCACAGGCUUCACGCUGUUGAGACGCUGUCAUUGCUUUGGGUUGUUGGAAAGCUCAGUGACUUUGUCUGGUUAUUGUUGAUUAUAGUUACCAGAGUCCAGGGCGGGGGAGGGGGAAGAGACAGUUGGAGAAUUUCAAAGAAGGAGGGAGGCAGAAUGUCCUGAGGUUCACUGGUUGGGGGAGGCUGUCCUUACCAGUCACUACUAUAGAAGUGACUAAGGGACGGUCACAUUGGAGUAUGAGACAAACAUGGAACUGAGAAAACGCAUCCUGGACUGGCCUGCUUGACCUCUUUAUACGCGACGGUGACUGUAUCACUGUGAUGAACCCAGUCAUGGACCGUAGCCAUGUCUCCUUUCUUAAUAUGCUCUUUCCCCCCGAGCUUUCCUGAGGAGAGACUGUAAGCUGGUUUCCUAGCACUGGGUUCUUUCUGGGCUGACAGCCCUCCCGCUUCUCUGCAAGCUUCCAUUCUGGAGUCUCCCUUCACCACCAUCCUGGACCCCACUGCCUCUUCAGUGCUGGCUCUGUCUCCUGCACCCCACUUGUUCCUCU